GCUCGUUCACCGCGUCUUCAUGUCGUCUGUGCACAUGUGACCUCUAGUCGUGUACAUUCUGCAGCGUUGUCACUUUGAAAACUCAGUUUGUAUUCGAACCUUUGGAAAGAAUUCAGUCGACUGGAGGUUGGAAUCUGUGUUUGAAGCACGUGUUCAUCUCCUGACGUGGUCCUGAUGAGUGAGACAGCAGAGUGGGAGUGGGAGACAGGAAGUGUCUGAACAGAGGGGACGCACGCGAAGGGGGAUCCAGAGAGCCGUCCAGGCAGCGGUUCUGGUGGUCCACUUCACUAGUACGAUACUACGGCCCGGGUACACGAAGUACAGGAACCUAAGGUACAAGGGCCGGAAGUACACGGGCCUGAAGUACACGGGCCUGAAGUACAGGAACCCAAGGUACACAGGCCUGAAGUACAGGAACCCAAGGUACACAGGCCUGAAGUACAGGAACCCGAAGUACACGGGCCGGAAGUACACGGGCCGGAAGUACACAUGCCUGAAGUACACGGGCCCAAACUAUAGAACCUUGAUUCUCUGGAGAAAAGAAUAAGUGGGUGAAACCAUUCUUUAUCUCUGAAGAUCAAAUGUUGAGGCUUUGUCACGUGUUGCCAGGUUGAAACCCGACAUUCUUGUUUUCAAGCAAAGGUUGAAUCUUUAGGACCUCACUUUUCUUGUACGUCUAUGUGUAACAUUCAGGAUGUUUCUACUGGAUCUGCAUUACGUUCAAAGCUCUGUCCUCGAUCACAGCAAAUCUGUGAAGUGAAGCAGCGCAGAUGUUGAACCUGUGUUCGGACGCGUCAUCGCUGCUGCAGCGAAGCCCAGGCGCUCGACGUGGUCCUGUUCAGCUCUGCUGCAGCUCACUGGUGCUUUUCGUUCCUGUCGACUCAGAUGCCAUUAAGCAAACGGCAGCCUUUUAUCAGUAGCAGCAUAAAAAGCCACUUCAGCUGCUUUGUGUCUGAGCCUCCGCUGUUUGUGUUAGAGGAAGAUAAAGACAGAAGCUCAGGCAGACAAUAGAACCGGAAAAGAGAGGGAGCUGCUUGAGGAGCAACGGUCGCUGGAGGGAGACGGGCGGACUUUGACUCAUGAAGCGCGGUCAGUGAGUGACGGAGCUGCAGACGCAGCUUCUAGUUCUGUUCCUGUUGGGGCUCAUUGUGUCCUGCUGCAGGAGGACGGUGAAGGCGUGCAUGCGGUUUCAGACGGUCCAUGAACACAUCACAGCAGAGGAGCAAAUGAGGAGCGACACACGGAAACAAAACUAAACUUAUUUUAUAGGUUCAACUUCUCGGCCCCUCGGCUCCUGAGGGAGGGGCCGGGGGCCCUUAGACUCCUGAGGGAGGGGCCGGGGCCCUUAGACUCCUGAGGGAGGGGCCGGGGGCCCUUAGACUCCUGAGGGAGGGGCCGGGGCCGAUCAGCUGCUCUGAGACCCUCCAGCCGCUGACGCUGAGGAAACGGCAGUGGAGGCGAGGAGCAUCGUUCCAUUGUUAUUUUUAUCUCUCAUCUUCUCAAGCGCCCACUCGUCCUCCUCUUGCUGCUUUCCGUUCGGUUUCUUCAUGUGUCUGCAGGUUCGUGUGAUAUUUGCGGGUGUUCUUCGGUACCAGCUGGGCCGUGUGGGUUUUCUCCCUGCUUUGGGUCAUUUGACCAGACCUGAGUGUCCUCCUCGCUCCACUCCUGCAGAACUCUGUCUGCUGCCAUUUCCUUUUUCCCGUCCGCCCGUCCGCAGGCUUCCUGUCCCUCUCCUGUCAAAAUGGCCGCUGCUCUGUGAUCCACUGUGUCCCCUGGCCGCGCUCAGGUCCUUCCAGGUUGACCGCGAACGUCUCGGGUCUCAGAUGAUCUCAGGUGAUGCUCCGCUGGGAGCAGCUGAAGGUUCACACGUGAAGGAAACGUGGUUGUAGCUGCCGGCCGGAGUUGCUGCUCUUUGACACGGCGUCGUGUUAAGCCGGUCGAGGCAGAUGGCCUCAUCUCUGUAGCUGGAGGUGAUAUAGAAAUAAACUGAAUAGAAUUAAGUACAUUUCACCACACGUUCUCUUUGCUUUGUGGUGCAUUUGUGACCAGUCUGUUGCAUCUGAACCUCGUCUCCUCUCUGUCUGUCAGGUUAUUGCAGCUUAAAAGUCCCUCCUCAUUACGCUGCUGCUGCUGCGUUUAAUGCUCAGUCAUGUUUUAACUGGAAAUACAACUGUGAACAAAUGCUAUUUAGGGACAAACAGACAGACGGCGGUUCAACUGUAAAGCAGAAACCCAAUGGGUCCCGUGAAGGCGGUUGGUGUUGAAAGCCACAGCCUCUGUUUGCUUUACCUGCAUGUUAAGAGCUUUUCUGCUUCACCCUUAAUUUCACCUGAUCCAUCGUGAACAAUUUCUUCCAAAGUGAAUCCGUUGCCCUGAUAAAAGCAGUGAAAACAAACCAGAGCCGAGAACUGAAAGCUCUUGUUUUCUGCGUUCAGGCAAAACCUUCACGUCCUUUGAUGCCGACGAUAAGAAGAGUAAACACUGAAGCUUGACAUGACGUAGUCACGUCCAUGUCAGAAAGCAUUUGAAAAUCCCUUUUAUCUUUUCACCUCAAAGUUUAAUACGAUGUAAAGAGUUACAAGCUGUGCUACAAAGUGGCGACAAAGUGAGAGGCAGGACACAUCUUACAUUCCUCUGUGCUUAAGUCUGCUAAUCCUGUCCCACUGCGCUAUGGGUGCAGUCACAAAGACAGUCAGAGUGUCCUCAGGCUGGAUUUCCCCCCGGGCUUCAUGUGGGAGGUGCACCCACAGUAACAGACGGGCGUUUCUGGACGAGGCUGCAGAGCUGCAUCCAGACUCUGGACCAGACGUCGGGCUGAUGUGUGAAUGAACCUGCGUGUGUCUGACACAGAGCUCGCAGACUCCGGAUGUGGAUAACACAAACAGGAGGAACGGCACCUGAACGCAUCCAAGGUUUUCAAAACCAGAGAUGUUUUUUUCCCUUUGAGACGUUGAACACUGUCACAACAGCCACUCUGACGCCAGAAGGGGAUUUGACCUGUUGACCUGAUUUAUUGACCUGCAGCUGAUUCUUGUAAAUGGAAGUAGGACUGUGUGUGUCACUGAAAGCUGUCGGUUAAAUGAAGUAGGAAAGAGACGCGUUUCCAGGAAUUUUAUCACGUGGCUCAUCGCAGCUUCACCAAACAGACGCGUGCCUUCUUGACCUCUGGACCAGGGAUCAGGUCAUGACAGCAGAUGACAGACGUCAUCCUGUGUCAUUACCAACAUGUUCCAGUGCAGCGUGGUCUCAGUUUCUGAUGAGUUUCUGCGUGUGUCCCGUAGCACAUCACCUCCGUUUGAAUGUAUUAACAGAAACAUGACAUACAGGAAGCGGUGGCGUCCGACUCAGAGCAGCGGAGGAGGCAGCUCUGUGUGUGUGUGUGUGUGUGUGUGUGUGUGUGUGUGUGUGCGUGCGUGUGUGUCUGCGCGCGUGUGGUGGUUUUGAGUCAUAGUGUUACUUCUGUCUCUCAUUUUUCAGAAUGUCGGCUCUGUGUGCGUUGGAGCCGUCUCGCUCUCUAUCCUUAAAGUGCUGCUGCAACAGGACAAAUACUAAUACUACAGUAAAGAGUGGGAUCCGCUUUGACGUGGAGCUGAUGGAGGACGUGCCCUCGUCUCCCCACCCUGGUCCAUGUUUA